rnacentral:rRNA from 1 species
AACUUUUUAUGAGAGUUUGAUCCUGGCUCAGGAUGAACGCUGGCGGCGUGCCUAACACAUGC